rnacentral:rRNA from 1 species
AUGAGUCACCGUCGAAGUUUGGCCCGACAGUUUUGCGAAGAUUCCUCCUCCGAAGAUGAGGAACUCAUGAUGGCUGCAAUUGUAGCAGAGGAAGAAGAAGCCCGGUUGGAUGCUCCACGACAUGGAGGUUCACAACCGGGACGUCAAUCUCUUCAGCGCGAUUUUGCGGAACGCUUUCAGAAUCUCCACAAGGACUAUUUUGCAGAGAACCCCACCUUCAAGGCAAGGAUGUUUCGCAAUAGGUAUGAGAUUGGUGCAUCUAUUUCGUUUUCACCAUAG